UGCAGUAUUUUUAUCUGCACCAAAACGGCCAUUCCAUCUUAUGAAAGGCCUAUUUUGGAUGGAGGAAGCCCGUUCCAAAUGUAAUAGUCAUUUUCCAGACUGGAAUGGCCAAAAUGCUUCUGGAGCGACCAAUGAACAAUUGAACGCCUGUUCUGAUACUAGAACUCCCAAUUCAUCAUCUGAAACAGCUUUCUUGAAUUGGAGUCACCAUAUCUAACAUAUAUUGUAUUCACAAUAGGAAGACCUCUUUAGUGUGUAAUAACAGUUAAAAGAACUCAUCCAAGAAUCAUAACAAUAGUGAAAAGAACUCAUCCAAGAAGAAGAAAUUAAUGACUUCAAGUGCUGCUCUUAACAAGAGACAGAUGCUUGACAAGAGCAAGGAGCACAACCGAUUGAAUCAGCAUGGUCUAUAUAUAAUAUUUCCACAGUCUGUUAUUUGCAAGUUUUCAUGGUAAAUCCAAAUUUCCAUAAAAGCAUAAAAAAGUGCUUCAAUUGUUUCUUUAAAUAGUAUUUUGUUUGUUAUUUUUGUCGUUUGAAGUGCUGUAAGACAUAUGUUGAUGGUAAGCUACUACUUUUUUCUGCUUCACAAAAUGCAGUUAAUAUCUGAACUUGUUACUUCUAUUGUAAUUGCUUUAUUUCUUAUAAAUCAUGAACAUUAAAUGAAAUCACUCUUAUAAGAAAAUCAUGAAUAUCAUUUUUUGCCA